CUGCUUCGGUCACGCCUGAGCUUGCGUUCUAACCCAACUCCCCAAAUCUCCUCCCGUCUCAGUCCCACGGACGGUCUGGCUGCGCUGUCGAGUUGAGGCGUUCAGUCCAGGCGGCCUGUUAACAAGCAGGCGCCGGUCUCAGCCCAGGCAAGGGAUCACCGCGUCUCGUUGCCGUCGUAGGAGCCGAGAACGAGAGGCCCAGACCUGCCGACGCCUGGCCAGCUCUGUCCGAGCGAGUGUGAAUUAGAGUGGGAGAGGCUUCACUUGGACAUACAGAAGAACACCGGGAUGGAUAACCUGGAGAGAAGAAUUCCUGCCCUGGAGAGGCGCGGGUAAGACCAGACGACCGUCUGUCAUUCACCUGUAAAAACUCAAUGAAAUUUCCUAGGAAUUUUUGAUGGCCUCUGACUUCCACUCUAGAUCCGAAGCCCCCGCUGUCACGUUCUGGCAUGCUUGUCCCGAGAAUGACUCGUU
rnacentral:lncRNA from 1 species